CUGGGUCAAAGGUUCAUUGGAGGUGGUGCUGUUAUGAAAAGCACAUGGCAAUCUCAACGCUGUGCGUUACAGGGAAGACAUCCUCCUCCCUCAUGUGGUACCCUUCCUGCAGGCUCAUCCUGACAGGACCCUCCAGCAUGACAAUGCCACCAGCCAUACUGCUCGUUCUGUGCGUGAUUUCCUGCAAGACAGAAAUGUCAGUGUUCUCCCAUGGCCAGGGACGAGCCUGAAUCUCAAUCCCAUUGAGCACAUCUGGAACCUGUUGGAUCAGAGGCUCUGCUGAGGAAAUACACAGCUGCUGACUUCCUGAGACCAGUGAGAGAAAAGUGUGCUGCAUGGUGUUUCCCUGCACGCUACAGUAUGGAGGAAAAUGAGGCUGAGGAGCUAGUGGAGGCCGACUUCUUGAGUUCAGACUGGCAGACACACAUUGAAGAGGACAGUUCAAAGAUGCUGUUGAAUGGCGAUACUGUGGCAGUGGUGAAAUCGAGCCCAAGCAGUGGGGCUAUGCUGGAAGGCUCAGAGAUGAAGCCCUGGGGUGUAAUGUAGCAUAAUCAGGCCAGGCCAAGGCCAGGAGAGCUGGAGCGGAGAGAGAGAGAGAGGAGAAGCAUGGGUCUUAUCUAUAAUGAAUGACACAAUGGAAGGCCAAAUAUUCCACUUUAUUCAUCAUUAUCUCUUGGGGUGGGAGGAAUCAUUAAACAUUUAAAUACAGGAAGUAUAUAACUACAAGGUCUUUGUGAAAUAUGGAUGUAUUCUAAUAUUGUUAUUCUAUCUGCUUUGUCAAACCAUUUGAUUUAUGAUUUGUGAGUUUUCAAAGUAUUUUUUUUAUUUCAACAAAAUAACUUUUAACACUUGUUUUAUUUAUUUAUACUAUGUUUUAUUAGUUAACCUUAGAAAGGAUUAUAUAAAUGCCUACUUUCAUAUUGGUGCUUUGUAAGAAUGGUGCUCACUUAAUUUAUUUAGCAAGUUAUCAUUGUAUCAUCAUAGAUCUUAAAUUGCAUACGUACAAUUCUUUAGAAGCCAUGCAUUGUCCAAAGAAAUAUAUUUUUCCCUUUGAAAGUUAAGUGGUAAAACGUGAUCGAUGAGAGGCAACUUGAAGUGCAAUAAUAAUGUUAUGUGAUGCAUUGGAAAAUGUUGUUUUUGCAGAUUUUGCUAAACAUUUUUUGUAGAGUAAUGUUUUGGAAUGACCCAACUCCCGAGUAAAAUUGUUUACUUAUGGGAAUUUAUCAUGUACAAUUAAAUUCACCCUAGACUGUAUUACCUGUACUUAAACAUCCAGCUUACUGAUUUAGAAAUAAAUAGGCAGGCCUACCUUGAUAUGUCUGUGUCAAGAUCUCAAUAAAUUAAUAUUUUAACCAAUUGCUGUCA